GAUGAACGCUGGCGGCGUGCCUAAUACAUGCAAGUCGAGCGAACGGACGAGAAGCUUGCUUCUCUGAUGUUAGCGGAGGACGGGUGAGUAACACGUGGAUAACCUACCUAUAAGACUGGGAUAACUUCGGGAAACCGGAGCUAAUACCGGAUAAUAUUUUGAACCGCAUGGUUCAAAAGUAAAAGACGGUCUUGCUGUCACUUAUAGAUGGAUCCGCGCUGCAUUAGCUAGUUGGUAAGGUAACGGCUUACCAAGGCAACGAUGCAUAGCCGACCUGAGAGGGUGAUCGGCCACACUGGAACUGAGACACGGUCCAGACUCCUACGGGAGGCAGCAGUAGGGAAUCUUCCGCAAUGGGCGAAAGCCUGACGGAGCAACGCCGCGUGAGUGAUGAAGGUCUUCGGAUCGUAAAACUCUGUUAUUAGGGAAGAACAUAUGUGUAAGUAACUGUGCACAUCUUGACGGUACCUAAUCAGAAAGCCACGGCUAACUACGUG
rnacentral:rRNA from 1 species